GAUGAACGCUGGCGGCGUGCCUAAUACAUGCAAGUCGAGCGAACAGACGAGGAGCUUGCUCCUCUGACGUUAGCGGCGGACGGGUGAGUAACACGUGGAUAACCUACCUAUAAGACUGGGAUAACUUCGGGAAACCGGAGCUAAUACCGGAUAAUAUAUUGAACCGCAUGGUUCAAUAGUGAAAGACGGUUUUGCUGUCACUUAUAGAUGGAUCCGCGCCGCAUUAGCUAGUUGGUAAGGUAACGGCUUACCAAGGCAACGAUGCGUAGCCGACCUGAGAGGGUGAUCGGACACACUGGAACUGAGACACGGUCCAGACUCCUACGGGAGGCAGCAGUAGGGAAUCUUCCGCAAUGGGCGAAAGCUUGACGGAGCAACGCCGCGUGAGUGAUGAAGGUCUUUGGAUCGUAAAACUCUGUUAUUAGGGAAGAACAAAUGUGUAAGUAACUAUGCACGUCUUGACGGUACCUAAUCAGAAAGCCACGGCUAACUACGUG
rnacentral:rRNA from 1 species